UACGGAGGGUGCGAGCGUUGUCCGGAAUCAUUGGGCGUAAAGAGCGUGUAGGCGGCCCGAUAAGUCCGCCGUGAAAGCCCAGGGCUCAACCCUGGGAUGCCGGUGGAUACUGUCGGGCUAGAGUUCGGAAGAGGCAAGUGGAAUUCCUGGUGUAGCGGUGAAAUGCGCAGAUAUCAGGAGGAACACCUAUGGCGAAGGCAGCUUGCUGGGACGACACUGACGCUGAGACGCGAAAGCGUGGGGAGCAAACAGG
rnacentral:rRNA from 1 species